UUACAAUUUGCAUUUUCAAAAAAUUUUGAUUCUCCAACGAUGAGUUAGAAGAAAAUGAACAGACGAAUAAAGGAUUUGGAGUCCAUACAGUUGAUUUUAAUUCACGCAGAAAAGCAUUAGAUACCCAAUAAUGUAUAAUUCACACACACUUAUCUCAUACAAUGGAUUAUACUUAUUAUGGUUAUCUAAAGUAAAAUAUAUGAUGUACCACAUACAAGGAGCUACGUAGUGGAGCCAAUGUAUUGAUAAUUUUUCUGACGUUGACUUUUUUGAAGAUAAUUCUACCGACUCUGCAGAUGAAGCCAUACCUUAUUGGAGUGAAUUAUGAAACUGAAAGGUAAUACAAUUUUGGUGAGCAAGAAUCCAAUUUUAAUAACGCAGAGGGCCUCAACAUAUUUAAAUUGCAAAGAAACACAUAACUAGUUUGGACAUUGGUAUCUUUUCUGAAGGGAAAGUGCAUCUAGUUGGAAACAGGUCGUCAAGCCUGUUCCCAUUUACAACGAGGAAAGACAAACUUCUUUGAAAUAGAGUAUGCAAUUACCAAAAAGCUUCAGUGGCUGUUAUUAAAAUUCUUCAACUAUCAACAAUGGACAUAAUUUAAGAAGACUUUUAAAUUAGAUAUAUUCUGAUAGGUACCUAUUUCCUUAAAUGUGUGUACUUAUUUUUCCUACGUUUUCCUCCCACUACCCAUCAGAAAGUAAUUAGUUACUUUAUUUAAGCAAAAAAAUACUAUACAUAUACACUGUAGAGUUGUGUUUGUGAAUAAAAUUAUUUUGUCAAUGACUAA